rnacentral:rRNA from 1 species
CUCUGUGACUCCUACGGGAGGCAGCAGUGGGGAAUAUUGCACAAUGGGCGCAAGCCUGAUGCAGCAACGCCGUGUGAGUGAAGAAGGUUUUCGGAUCGUAAAACUCUGUCCUAAGGGAAGAAAAAAUGACGGUACCUUAGGAGGAAGCCCCGGCUAACUACGUGCCAGCAGCCGCGGUAAUACGUAGGGGGCAAGCGUUAUCCGGAAUCACUGGGCGUAAAGGGUGCGUAGGCGGCUUAGCAAGCCAGGGGUGAAAGGCAUUGGCUCAACCAAUGUAAGCCUUUGGAACUGUUAAGCUUGAGUGCAGGAGAGGUAAGUGGAAUUCCUAGUGUAGAGGUGAAAUUCGUAGAUAUUAGGAGGAACACCAGUGGCGAAGGCGACUUACUGGACUGUAACUGACGCUGAGGCACGAAAGCGUGGGGAGCGAACAGGAUUAGAUACCCUGGUAG